CCCAACCACGCGCGCAGCCACAAGCGAGGGCAGGCACGCACCGGAAGAGCCGCCGCCGCCGCCGCUCGCCUGCUCCUGCCUCGUGCGGCAGCGCCGCCGCGUGCUGCUCCCGCUCCAGCUCCGGCACCGCGGCAUCUCUCCUGCUCCAACUCGCCCCGUCCCUUGUCCCGCGCCGGCGCUGCUCCUGCGGUGCCCGGCCGCCACACCACACGCUUGGCCCAUCUCGGUUUUGUUAAAUUAUUGGCAUCCAAGCUUGGCGUCCAAAAUCUCCUUAACUUGAUGUUCUUAUUCAAGGAUGCUGGAAGAGAUGCUGCAGGGUGCGGGCUUAGCUGUUAAUGCUGCUAGGCCUUUCCAAACGGAGGCUCUGCACGACUUCCUGUGCAUGUUGUUGGGUUUGCCCAUGGACAACUUCGGCCAUGCACAAGCACAGCCAUCUCCUCUGGUACCGUUUCAGCAAACAUUUACCAUCGUUCUCACCAAUUCGUCUGUGCGUGGCGAAUUUUGGCACUCACUUACCACCCGAGAGAUCAAGAAAGCAAGGGGGUCGUGGCAUCCAUGACGCAUUGAGAGUCAUGCACCUCGUGCCAAGGAAGGCAUAUAAUGGCAAGGAGGAAGGUCCAUCUCACCGCCGCCUUAUCAACGACUGUAUGCAUGACAUCUUGGGAGUUCAGCCAGAAAAUCAUGUUAUGCGUAAUGGAAAAGUGCAGUUUGUUGGCUCAAGCAAUAAUGCAGAGCAAAUUUUACCCAAUACCGUUGAUUCUCAUGAUAUCUCUGCUUGUCCUUCCAUGAAUAAGCUCGCAAAGGUAAACAAGUUUAUGCUACUUAUGGAGCUGCAUAGGAGAGGAAUGAGUGCGGAUAUAUCUAUUUUAGCAUCUGCCAUGAGCUUUUGUGCUGUUAAGAAGUCCAUUAGGGGAGGUGUCCAGCUCCAUGCUCUACUGGUGAAAGUUGGUUAUGAAUUAUCAGUCCUUUCUGGCACCUCUUUAAUCAGCUUAUAUGCAAGAUGUUAUCAACUGGAGAAUGCUUGUCAGGUUUUUCAGAACAUGCCAGUUAAAAAUACGGUGUCGUGGACAGCACUCAUUUCUGGUUAUGUGCAGGAUAAUAAGGUUGAGCCUUGCCUCCAGGUGUUUCAGCUGAUGAGGCAGUCAGUGUGCAGGCCUAAUGACAUCACAUUUGCCACUAUCUUCAGUGUGUGUACUAACCACGCACUUCUUGCACUUGGUAAAAGUGUUCAUAGUCUAGAACUGAGAAUGGGUUUUGAUUUGUGUGUGCAUGUCUCUAAUGCACUGAUAUCAAUGUAUGCAAAGUGUGGGAGUAUAGAUGAGGCCCAGUCCAUAUUUGAGAGCAUUGCGUGCAAGGACCUGAUUUCUUGGAACUCCAUGAUAUUUGGAUAUUCACAGCAUGGCCUUGCUGAGCAUUGCCUAAGCUUGCUAAAAGAAAUGGAGGAGGAGCACAUAGUGCCUGAUGCAAUCUCCUUCCUUGGCAUCCUGUCAUCAUGUCGGCAUGCAUGCCUUGUAGAGGAAGGCCGGCGCUGCUUCAAGGCAAUGAUCAGACUUGGAAUAGAACCAGAGCUAGAUCACUACUCGUGUAUGGUAGACCUCCUCGGCCGGGCAGGGUUGCUCGAUGAAGCAUGGGAUUUGAUCCAUACAAUGUCCAAGUCUCCAAAUGCAGUCAUAUGGGGUUCUCUGCUGGCUGCCUGUAGGAUGCAUGGAAACAUUCCGAUUGGCAUCCAUGCUGCAGAGCACCGUCUUAAGCUGGAGCCAGGUUGUGCUGCAACUCAUGUACAGCUAGCAAAUCUAUAUGCUAGCAUUGAUUGCUGGAGUGAUGUGGCCAGAGUGAGGAUGAUGAUGAAGGAGAGAGGACUGAAGACGAACACUGGGUGCAGCUGGAUAGAAAUUGGCAAUAAGGUUUAUACCUUCACAGCAGAAGACAGAUCAAAGAGCCAACAAGUAAAUCAUGUCUUGGCUGUUCUUGACUGCUUGCGCUCUCAUAUGGAAUACAAGUAUGAUCUGCUGAUAGAUGGUCUUGAGUUUGAUGAGCCUGAAUAUUUCAAGGCACCUUGCACAUGAGCAGAGUUUAAGGUCUCGACUAUCAAAAGUUCAGAUUAUUGUUGGCAAGGAACUCCACAGAAAGCACCAUGAUAGCAAUCAAAGAUUGUUCGUCGAGAUAACACCCACUAAAUCAAGCAGCUAAGACCAAAAGCAUACUUCAGCACUCAGGCAUUAACACUACGACCGGUUCCGUAGCAUUUGAGAAAGUUUCCGUUGCUUCCAACCACCGACGAUGGGGAAACUGUGCGACUCAGCAGAAGAACAUCGUUGACGCUACAUUGGGAUGCAGACGAGGCAGCUCCGGCACCGGGGCAGCCUCAGCCUGGGACGAUGUCUCCGACAUAUCAUCGAUCUUGGUGAACUUGGCCACCUGGCCCGCUGCAAGGUGUGCGUAGAAGAUGGGAGCAACUGAGAGGGAAAAUCAGAUGGUCAGCCAUGCCUUUUUGAUAUAUAUGUUGCGAAAUCAAGUAGUGGAAAAUCAUGCUUACCUACUGAGAUUGCUGUGGUGCUCCUCUGGUACCUGAAACGAGUUCGCAAGCAUUGAAAUAUCAAAAGGAUGCAGUGAUGAUCAGAGGCAAGAUUGGACAAGGCGGCUGACAAGAUCUUCAACAUUAUAUCGUGCAGAAAAAUUAACAACUCCCCACAUCUUCACUUUUAUGGGUUGAAUGAACCUCUGGAGAGCAGAACUGGGAACGUUACCGCAUCAAUAACAAUAUGCAACAAUAAAGAGUUUACAGUGCACAUGUGUAGAGUUCAAUCAAGAGGUAUGUUCAGUUGCUUACGUCAUUAUUGAAGUUCCACCGCCCAUUAGGUGUACGAAGUUCUCUACCAUCUGCAGAGUUUAACUGCACAUUACGAUAUUUAAUUAGAUGCAAGCAGCAAAGGGCCUGCAUAGUAGGCGUUCAAAGACAUACAUCCAGUGAAAAGAGCAGUAUGGCUCUACUAACCUGUGGUGCCUGAAGGACUCUACCCUCGACUUGAGUAAACUCUGGAUCUAUCGCAAUGCCGCAUUCCCUCAGCAUUGGAUCGGAAUUAUAAUUAUUGGCACGCAACGCCUGGGUAAAUAAAAUUGAGAUUUAUUGUAUUUUCAAUAUUUUUAGACCCUGUGAACAUUAUCUACUGCAGUAUUGCUGAAUUCAGGUUAUGAGAGUAACAUACACCAGAUAAGCUCAACAUCCUUUGAUCCGGCCUCUGCCUGGAUCCCUCCA